GGUUGAUCCUGCCAGUAGUCAUAUGCUUGUCUCAAAGAUUAAGCCAUGCAUGUCCAAGUACAAACCGUUGUACGGUGAAACUGCGAAUGGCUCAUUAAAUCAGUGAUUGUUUACUUGAGAGUCUCUUGCCCACAAGGAUAACCGUGGUAACCCAGAGCUAAUACUUGCGCGGGGGCCGGACUGCGGCAGCGCGGAACGGCAGCGCUUAUUAGGUAGCAAACCGACGCCUAGCGGCCGCCUGGUGAUUCAUAAUAAGCAGCGGAUCGUACGGCCGCGCGCCGACGACGCCUCA
rnacentral:rRNA from 1 species